rnacentral:lncRNA from 1 species
GGUAUUGAUUUUAAUCAACUUUCAAGAUGAAGCACCACAUUUGUCAAGGCAGAAGACCCAAAUGUGCAAUUUUUUCUUAGGGGAAAACUGGCUAUAAUGAAUGUGCUAAAGUAUGUUAGUUAUCUACUAACCUCAACACGCAAGAAAGCACUAGAUCAUUAGUUUGCCUGGUAAGGGAAAAAACAGCGGUUGUAGCUUGCCCAGCUACAGAAGAAAGUGGAAUCAGCAGAACAAGUGGCCUGUGAAGAUGCCAGUUUGUGAGAAAUGCCUGGCUGACUGUGAACAGGGAUAUUAUUAAAUGGAUGCAUAUGAUGCAUAGCGUAAUUAUACCACUUAUGGCAGAAAAAAUCACCAUUUUAUCAAAUGCUCCACUGUGUACAUCAAAGAUCAUGGUAUCAUCUAUCUCUGGGAUGCUAUGUGAGCUUUGCAGUUCUGGAAGGGCUUCGAGUCAAGUUUUGAUUAAUUCUUGAUGGUUUUAUUUGAUUAUAGAAGUAGAGCUUGAAUGUGUGUGUGCGUUUUCCCUUUUUCUUGUAAGAACUGACAAUAUUGAUUAAAUUUCCCUUUUAGGAGUGGGAAGCAAGACGCAAAGUAAUUGUCACCGCUUCUUGGAGAAGAAUGGCUUAUAGUGCUUUGAACAUAUCGUCUCAAAAUAACCUCUUUGGAAG